GUUGUAUGGUUAAGUGACUAAGCGUACACGGUGGAUGCCUUGGCAGUCAGAGGCGAUGAAAGACGUAGUAACUUGCGAUAAGCCCAGAUUAGGUAGUAACAACCAUUUGAGUCUGGGAUUUCUGAAUGGGGAAACCCACUUACAUAAGUAAGUAUCAUUAACUGAAUACAUAGGUUAAUGAGGCGAACCGGGGGAACUGAAACAUCUAAGUACCCCGAGGAAAAGAAAUCAACCGAGAUUCCGAAAGUAGCGGCGAGCGAAAUUGGACUAGCCCUUAAGCUUUACACGCGUUAGACGAACGGUCUGGAAAGUCCGACGAUACAGGGUGAUAGUCCCGUAGUUGACGACGUGUGUUCAGUGAAAUCGAGUAAGGCGGGACACGUGAUAUCCUGUCUGAAUAUGGGGGGACCAUCCUCCAAGGCUAAAUACUACUGACUGACCGAUAGUGAACCAGUACCGUGAGGGAAAGGCGAAAAGAACCCCUGUGAGGGGAGUGAAAUAGAACCUGAAACCGUGUACGUACAAGCAGUAGGAGCAGGCUUUGUCCUGUGACUGCGUACCUUUUGUAUAAUGGGUCAGCGACUUAUAUUCAGUGGCAAGGUUAACCAUCUAGGGGAGCCGUAGGGAAACCGAGUCUUAACUGGGCGUUCAGUCUCUGGAUAUAGACCCGAAACCAGGUGAUCUAGCCAUGGGCAGGUUGAAGGUUGAGUAACAUCAACUGGAGGACCGAACCGACUAAUGUUGAAAAAUUAGCGGAUGACUUGUGGCUAGGGGUGAAAGGCCAAUCAAACCUGGAGAUAGCUGGUUCUCCCCGAAAGCUAUUUAGGUAGCGCCUCGGACGAAUACUACUGGGGGUAGAGCACUGUUAAGGCUAGGGGGUCAUCCCGACUUACCAACCCUUUGCAAACUCCGAAUACCAGUAAGUACUAUCCGGGAGACACACGGCGGGUGCUAACGUCCGUCGUGGAGAGGGAAACAACCCAGACCGCCAGCUAAGGUCCCAAAUUACUACUAAGUGGGAAACGAUGUGGGAAGGCUCAGACAGCCAGGAUGUUGGCUUAGAAGCAGCCAUCAUUUAAAGAAAGCGUAAUAGCUCACUGGUCGAGUCGGCCUGCGCGGAAGAUGUAACGGGGCUAAGUAGUAAACCGAAGCUGCGGCAAUAUACUUUUGUAUAUUGGGUAGGGGAGCGUUCUGUAAGCGGUUGAAGGUGUGUGGUAACGCAUGCUGGACGUAUCAGAAGUGCGAAUGCUGACAUGAGUAACGAUAAAGGGGGUGAAAAACCUCCUCGCCGGAAGACCAAGGGUUCCUGUCCAACGUUAAUCGGGGCAGGGUAAGUCGACCCCUAAGGCGAGGCCGAAAGGCGUAGUCGAUGGGAAACGGGUUAAUAUUCCCGUACUUCUUACAAUUGCGAUGGGGGGACGGAGAAGGCUAGGUGGGCCUGGCGACGGUUGUCCAGGUUCAAGUGCGUAGGCUUAAGAGUUAGGUAAAUCCGGCUCUUUUUAAGGCUGAGACACGACGUCGAGCUACUACGGUAGUGAAGUCAUUGAUGCCAUGCUUCCAGGAAAAGCCUCUAAGCUUCAGAUUGUAAGGAAUCGUACCCCAAACCGACACAGGUGGUCGGGUAGAGAAUACCAAGGCGCUUGAGAGAACUCGGGUGAAGGAACUAGGCAAAAUGGUACCGUAACUUCGGGAGAAGGUACGCUCUCGACGGUGAAGUCCCUCGCGGAUGGAGCUAUUGAGAGUCGCAGAUACCAGGUGGCUGCAACUGUUUAUUAAAAACACAGCACUGUGCAAAAUCGUAAGAUGACGUAUACGGUGUGACGCCUGCCCGGUGCCGGAAGGUUAAUUGAUGGGGUUAGACUUCGGUCGAAGCUCUUGAUCGAAGCCCCGGUAAACGGCGGCCGUAACUAUAACGGUCCUAAGGUAGCGAAAUUCCUUGUCGGGUAAGUUCCGACCUGCACGAAUGGCGUAAUGAUGGCCACGCUGUCUCCACCCGAGACUCAGUGAAAUUGAAAUCGCUGUGAAGAUGCAGUGUACCCGCGGCUAGACGGAAAGACCCCGUGAACCUUUACUACAGCUUGGCACUGAACAUUGACCCUACAUGUGUAGGAUAGGUGGGAGGCUUUGAAGCACGUACGCCAGUAUGUGUGGAGCCGUCCUUGAAAUACCACCCUUGUAGUGUUGAUGUUCUAACGUCGACCCCUUAUCGGGGUUGCGGACAGUGCCUGGUGGGUAGUUUGACUGGGGCGGUCUCCUCCCAAAGAGUAACGGAGGAGCACGAAGGUGGGCUAAUCACGGUUGGACAUCGUGAGGUUAGUGCAAUGGCAUAAGCCCGCUUGACUGCGAGAAUGACAAUUCGAGCAGGUGCGAAAGCAGGUCAUAGUGAUCCGGUGGUUCUGAAUGGAAGGGCCAUCGCUCAACGGAUAAAAGGUACUCCGGGGAUAACAGGCUGAUACCGCCCAAGAGUUCAUAUCGACGGCGGUGUUUGGCACCUCGAUGUCGGCUCAUCACAUCCUGGGGCUGAAGUCGGUCCCAAGGGUAUGGCUGUUCGCCAUUUAAAGUGGUACGCGAGCUGGGUUUAGAACGUCGUGAGACAGUUCGGUCCCUAUCUGCCGUGGGCGUUGGAAGAUUGAAGGGGGCUGCUCCUAGUACGAGAGGACCGGAGUGGACGAACCUCUGGUGUUCGGGUUGUGUCGCCAGACGCAUUGCCCGGUAGCUAAGUUCGGAAUCGAUAACCGCUGAAAGCAUCUAAGCGGGAAGCGAGCCCUGAGAUGAGUCUUCCCUGAUACUUUAAGUAUCCUAAAGGGUUGUCGGAGACUACGACGUUGAUAGGUCAGGUGUGUAAGUGCUGUGAGGCAUUGAGCUAACUGAUACUAAUUGCCCGUGAGGCUUAACCAUACAACACCCAAGGGGUUU
rnacentral:rRNA from 1 species